rnacentral:rRNA from 1 species
AUGCAAGAUCAGGUCGGCCUGGACCUGGACAGCUUCCCGCUCAGCCACGAGUUUCUGGAGGACUACGGCCUCGAGGAAGAAGAUGAGUUGGACAUCGAAGGGGAGCCUUUGUUCGAGGACGAGCUCGCCAACCAAGCCGCCGGGGCGAAGCCGAAGCCGCAAGAGCAAGCGACCAAGGCAUGCACGGCGGCCGAGGACAAGCUCCUUUGUGAGUGUUGGAGGGACAUUGGGCGAGACCCCAAGGUCGUCGCCGAACAAAAGGCAUCAACCUUUUGGACUCGCGUCCAUCGUGAGUUUCAUGAAUGCAAGAAGUUUGCGCCAUGCCAAAUGCAAAGCACGCACGGGUGGGUGUCCAUUUCGAAGCGAUGGAAGAUGAUCCAACAAGAGUGCAAAAAGUUUUGUGCCACUCUUUAGAGCAUCAAGGCACGCCUGAUGAGCGGCAUCGGCAUGCAAGACAUGGUAUGCAUGCGCCCCUCUUUAUUUUCAUUCCGUUUAUGCUUGCAUGUCCAUUUGCAUAUCCAUUUGCCCAUAUGCUUGCAUGUGAUGACACACAACUAUAGGGGAUCUAUCGUAGUCCUUUCGAUAAGUAAGAGUAUCGAACCCAACGAGGAGCCGAAGGAAAUGACAAGUGGUUUUCAGCAAGGUAUUCUCUGCAAGCACUGA